UACGUAGGGUGCGAGCGUUGUCCGGAAUUAUUGGGCGUAAAGGGCUCGUAGGCGGUUUGUCGCGUCGGGAGCGAAAACCUCGGGCUUAACUCGGGGCUUGCUUUCGAUACGGGCAGACUGGAGGUAUGCAGGGGAGAACGGAAUUCCUGGUGUAGCGGUGAAAUGCGCAGAUAUCAGGAGGAACACCGGUGGCGAAGGCGGUUCUCUGGGCAUGACCUGACGCUGAGGAGCGAAAGUGUGGGGAGCGAACAGG
rnacentral:rRNA from 1 species